UGCAUGAAGCCGGAAUCGCUAGUAAUCGCGGAUCAGAAUGCCGCGGUGAAUACGUUCCCGGGUCUUGUACACACCGCCCGUCACACCAUGGGAGUCGGGAAUGCCCGAAGUCAGUGGCCCAACCGGAAGGGGGGAGCUGCCGAAGGCAGGCCCGGUGACUGGGGUGAAGUCGUAACAAGGUAGC
rnacentral:rRNA from 1 species